AAUCACUUGUCUUUUAAAUGGAGACCUGUAUGAAUGGCAUAACGAGGGCUUAACUGUCUCCUCUUUCCGGUCAAUGAAAUUGAUCUUCCCGUGCAGAAGCGGGAAUAUGUACAUAAGACGAGAAGACCCUAUGGAGCUUUAGACACAAGAGCAAAACAUGUCAAGCACCCCUCAUCAAGGAUAAGAACCAGAUGUUACACUUGCCCUAAUGUCUUUGGUUGGGGCGACCGCGGAGUAAAAUACAACCUCCGCGUGGACCGGGAGCACCCCUAAACUCCCUCCUAAAGCCAAGAGCCACAUCUCUAAGCAACAAAACUUUUGACCUACAUAGAUCCGGCAAUGCCGAUCAACGAACCGAGUUACCCUAGGGAUAACAGCGCAAUCCUCUUUAAGAGCCCA
rnacentral:rRNA from 1 species